rnacentral:miRNA from 1 species
CACAUCUUCGGGUAUGGGUCGG